rnacentral:rRNA from 1 species
UACGAAGGGUGCAAGCGUUACUCGGAAUUACUGGGCGUAAAGCGUGCGUAGGUGGUGAGUUAAGUCUGGUGUGAAAUCCCCGGGCUCAACCUGGGAAUGGCAUUGGAUACUGGCUCGCUGGAGUGCGGUAGAGGGUGGUGGAAUUCCCGGUGUAGCAGUGAAAUGCGUAGAGAUCGGGAGGAACAUCUGUGGCGAAGGCGGCCACCUGGACCAGCACUGACACUGAGGCACGAAAGCGUGGGGAGCAAACAGG